AUCAGUAUGUGGGUGAGCUUAUCUCUCUCUCUCUCUCUUUGUUUCUUUCCCUCUUUUUCUCACAGGCUGACCGACUUUCUUUUCGUGAUAAAAGGAUAAACGUGGGCCAGGCAUUCCGCAAACAACUGAAAGGACACUGUAUGUCAUUGAAUCACAUUGUUAAAUUGUUAAAAACUGAUUUAUCACACAUAAGACCAAUAUUGUCUUAAUUAUUUUUACUUGAAAAUGUGAUGAUAAUGACCUAAAAUAGUCUAGAACCUGACUGUAUGACUUCUGCACGUUCUGUAUGUACUCUAUAUUCUGUUUGUUCUUUAACAACAGACAGCUAUACUGCGGAUACUCAGGGUUCAUCUAUGGCUUAUCAAGCUCCUUUUGGCACCACAUACCUGACCACCCCUACUGGAUAUCCCUACACCUACCACAAUGGAGUGGCCUACUUCCACACACCAGAGCCCAACACACUGAGCCCCUCACACUGGCAUGCUCCACCCCACACGAUGUCUGGAUCGUCCGUCAUGGUGACCCACUCUGCCUCUUCCAUCUGCAUCCCACAACCCUACCACAAUUCACAGGCUUCUUCUCAGUAUGUGCCUGGACACGUGCCAUGGACCAUUCCUCAGGUAGAGGCUUCUUCACAGUAUGUGUCUGGACAUGUGCCAUGGACUAUUCCUCAGGUAGAGGUGUGUUCUUAAAUGCAUUGGAGAAAGUGGCUUUGUGUCAGUCAUUGGUUAAAAUUUAGUUGAUCUGCAUAAAUGUACACAAUCCAGUGAGAAUAUUGUUUCUGCUCCUCUGAGCAUAUAGGGGCACUUUGUAGUUAUAUAAUGGCAGCUAUUAUUUGGGAAGUUGGUAGUUGGUAGGAGUGUCUAAUAGAGUGGACAAUGGGUGUUUAAAAAGUCCAGCAGCACUGCUGUGUCUGAUUCACUUGUGAAAUAAUGGACAGUGAAUGUAGAAAGAAGAAAAUGGUCAUGAUAUUCUGACUAGAUUUUUGUUUGCGUUAGACCUCCGUCCCUGUGAAUCCAAGUUCUUUAUCAUGCAUCCAGCCUGCUGAGGUAAUGUACCAGCCCAUGGAGAUGCCAGCAGAGAAUUGGUGUUUCCAGUCAGCCAUGCCAUUAAUGGAGGCUACAAUUCCCGAGGUAAAAAGUAGUAGUCUCAUACACUUAGUAUUGGGAAGAAACUGGUGAUGUGAUACGCAUGGUAAUACAGGAGUUAUGAUUAAAUGUAAUCCAAGAUAUUGACAUACAACUCUGGAAAAAAAUAAAAGACCACUUCUGUUUCUGAAUCA
rnacentral:lncRNA from 1 species